GAUGAACGCUGGCGGCGUGCCUAAUACAUGCAAGUCGAGCGAACAGACGAGGAGCUUGCUCCUCUGACGUUAGCGGCGGACGGGUGCGUAACACGUGGAUAACCUACCUAUAAGACUGGGAUAACUUCGGGAAACCGGAGCUAAUACCGGAUAAUAUAUUGAACCGCAUGGUUCAAUAGUUAAAGACGGUUUUGCUGUCACUUAUAGAUGGAUCCGCGCCGCAUUAGCUAGUUGGUAAGGUAACGGCUUACCAAGGCAACGAUGCGUAGCCGACCUGAGAGGGUGAUCGGCCACACUGGAACUGAGACACGGUCCAGACUCCUACGGGAGGCAGCAGUAGGGAAUCUUCCGCAAUGGGCGAAAGCCUGACGGAGCAACGCCGCGUGAGUGAUGAAGGUCUUCGGAUCGUAAAACUCUGUUAUUAGGGAAGAACAAAUGUGUAAGUAACUAUGCACGUCUUGACGGUACCUAAUCAGAAAGCCACGGCUAACUACGU
rnacentral:rRNA from 1 species